GGGUUUCUCUUUAUAAAAGAAGAUGGUCUCGCGAGACUUAUUCACUACCACGAGAACAGUAUGGGGGAACCGCCCCCAUGAUUCAAUUAUCUGCCACUGAUUCCCUUCCACAACACCUGGGAAUUACCGGAGCUACAAUUCAAGAUGAGAUUUCUGUGGGGACACAGCCAAACCAUAUCAGAAUGAGAAAGCAAUUCAAGGCAGAGAGUAAAACCUGUGCAUAGCUAUGGAAUCCUAAAUAUUCUGACGUCAUCAAGGAACUGCAGGAUGCCCCGCGUUCCUGAAGAACAGGGUGCAUGGUGGGAGGGCAGGUGCUGGCAAGUCCGUGUGGAGUGGGCACGGCAAACACCCAGCAGAGUUCCUGUUUUAGUUGGCUUCUCUUCAUUGGAAGAAACAGAUUCACUCAAGUGACUUCAAGAAGAAUAGAGUUUAUUAUGAGGAUGCAGGUAAAAGAGCAUUUGUGGGGCCGGGCUCGGUGUCUCACACCUGUAAUCCCAGCACUUUGGGAGGCCAAGGCAGGUGGAUCACAAGGUCAGGAGUUCAAGACCAGCCU
rnacentral:lncRNA from 1 species